GAGCUCAGUUGCUGGAGCGUGAGACUCUUAAUCUCAGGGUUGUGGGUUCGAGCCCCAUGUUGGGUG